UACGUAGGGAGCAAGCGUUGUCCGGAAUUACUGGGCGUAAAGCGUGCGUAGGUGGUUUGUUAAGUCUGAUGUGAAAGCCCUGGGCUCAACCUGGGAAUUGCAUUGGAUACUGGCAGGCUAGAGUGCGGUAGAGGAUGGCGGAAUUCCCGGUGUAGCAGUGAAAUGCGUAGAGAUCGGGAGGAACAUCUGUGGCGAAGGCGGCCAUCUGGACCAGCACUGACACUGAGGCACGAAAGCGUGGGGAGCAAACAGG
rnacentral:rRNA from 1 species